ACCUCCCAAGGCUAAAUACUACCUGAUGACCGAUAGUGAAGCAGUACCGUGAGGGAAAGGUGAAAAGAACCCCGGGAGGGGAGUGAAAUAGAACCUGAAACCGUGUGCCUACAACCGCUCAGAGCCCCUUAUGAGGGUGAUGAGGUGCUUUUUGUAGAACGAGCCAACGAGUUACGGUAUGUAGCAAGGUUAAGUACUUAAGGUACGGAGCCGAAGGGAAACCGAGUCUGAAUAGGGCGACUAGUUGCAUGCCGUAGACCCGAAACCGGGUGACCUAUCCAUGGCCAGGUUGAAGCGAGGGUAAAACCUCGUGGAGGACCGAACCACGUUGCUGUUGAAAAAGCAUGGGAUGAGCUGUGGAUAGCGGAGAAAUUCCAAUCGAACCCGGAGAUAGCUGGUUCUCUCCGAAAUAGCUUUAGGGCUAGCGUCGAGUAUGAGUAGUGGAGGUAGAGCACUGAAUGGGCUAGGGGGCAUAGCGCUUACCGAACCUUAUCAAACUCCGAAUGCCACAUACUUUGAGCUCGGCAGUCAGACUACGAAUGAUAAGAUCCGUGGUCAAAAGGGAAACAGCCCAGAUCGUCAGCUAAGGUCCCAAAGUGUAAGUUAAGUGGGAAAGGAUGUGAGAUUUCUAAGACAACUAGGAUGUUGGCUUAGAAGCAGCCAUUCAUUAAAAGAGUGCGUAAUAGCUCACUAGUCGAGAGAUCUUGCGCCGAAAAUGUAACGGGGCUAAACUUACC
rnacentral:rRNA from 1 species